rnacentral:rRNA from 1 species
AUUCUAGAKVUAAUACAUGCAACUCAGUUCCGACCGGCGACGGGAGGAACGCUUUUAUUARAUCAAAMCCAAUCGGSGGGCCCGCCCGCCGUUCGAUUUUGGUGACUCUGGAUAAAGACCGGYUGAUCGCACGGKCCUCGCACCGGSGACGCACCCUUCAAAUGUCUGCCUUAUCAACUGACGAUGGUAGGUUUUGCGCCUACCAUGGUUGUAACGGGUGACGGGGAAUCAGGGUUCGAUUCCGGAGAGGGAGCCUGAGAAACGGUUACCACAUCCAAGGAAGGCAGCAG